CAACGAAUCGCCAAUUAUCACCUCGAUAAGAAUUAAUUCGUGAAAUCACUCGUCACUCUUCUUCGAUAUUUAAUUCGAUGUUUAAUUCGCAAAUUACUUUGCAAACUUUCAACAACAAGAAUUCUAUUCCAACCACCGUCAAUCUUUAAAAUCCUUCUCCUCGAUACGAAGUAACAAAAUGUUUGGUUUGUUCGGAGAGUGUUAAUUUCGUUUUUUCGCACGAGCGUCGCUACAGUCGGACAGUUUAUCCAGCCAACUUCAUUCCAAACCGUGUGUCAUCGUCGUCGUUACGCGUAUUCCGAGAGUCGCAAUUCGUUUGAUUCCGUGCGAUCGCGUUUUAAUUAUUUCAUUUUUACCGAGAAGAGGAAGAAGAGGAAGAAGAAGGACGUUAAACGCGUGAAAGUUGACGAAGACAAAAAAAAAAUAAAGCAAACGACUCGACAAAUUUCGAUUACGUAAGAUCGAAUUUUCUCUCGAAAGAAAAAUAUAACGACAACUGAACGACUGAGUAACAAAGUAUUCGUGUUCGGUCAGCAAUUGAAGCGGCGUGAAGCAAUAUCCUCCCAUCGAAGGUUCUUCUCGGCAAGAAACAAGCUAGCUGGAGGGGGCAAGGUGUCGCUUCGCUUGGGCGAGAUGAUUGACAAGUAUGCAAUUCUGGGUGAGGCAAAGGACGCGGCAGAGCGAAAAGUAGCGAAGCUAUUCUGCUGCGGUUGGUGUUUCCUCCUCCUCCUCCUCCUCCUCCUUCGUCGCCGCCGCCGCCUCUGCUGCUCGAGACGCCAGACUCGGCCACCCUCCCCCUCCCUCCCUCCCUCCUUCCCCCCGUGUCGGGCAUAUCAUUAAUCUUGCCGUGUUUUCUCGCGCACUCGGAUGUGGAUUUAGAGGCGAGACUCGGCCAAGAUCCAUGGAAACGUAGGUGAGCGCGUCCCGAAACGGAGCCGGGGGCCGUUUGUCUUCAUUCGAGGAACUCGAUCGAAGGCCUUCCCUUCCGGUUUCAUUCCGUCCACCGGAUGUCGCGGUGCGCAAUUCGAUUUCCUCUUCUGGUGGAAGAGGAGGAAUCCAUGCAAUUUUCGUGCAUCGGAAAAGUUUGUUCGGGUUCGUUUGGUGAAAUUUGGAAUUUUUUUUUUUCUUUUUUUUUUUCUUGGUGCGUUCGACGAAAAUAAUGGUGUAAUUGUUCCGUGUGACGAAAAUAAGAUUUGAAUUUAUUCGCGCGGAGGCGAGUUAACGAUCCCGACGCCUCUGAUGAAGAAAUCCUCAACGUCGAGAGAGAGAGAGAGAGAGAAAGAGAGGGGCACUAAGGAUACUUUGAUGAUGUUUGCGUAUUAACUAACGAUCCUUCCACGCCACCUGUGCGAAUAAUUCCUUGAUGGAAGGAAAUUGCGGAUGAAAUUGAUGCGCGUGCCGGUUUGCGUUAACGAGCAAGCCCGCCAUUUUUGUGAUUUGGAAUCGAGAGAUAGGUUAGGGCGCAAGUUGGAAAUUUUGCUCGAGUCGAGGGGCGCAUGCGCACUUCUCCUUCCCACGCGCCAUCUUUAUUCGCCAAGAUCAAGUUGAAAAAGAUACGUAAUCUUUCUAAUCUUACCGACAAUUUUAUUUUUAAGAUCCUAGGUUAUGGGGGAUCCUAAAAAAAGGAAAAGUUUGGUUAAAAUUAAAUUGAAAAAUUGUGUGUAUAAUUACCUUAACCAUUACGUUACCUUAAGGGGAAAUGAUAUAAAUAAUUGAACGAUCAGGUGUUGUAAAAAAAUACAAAACUUUUUUACUUGAAAUUUCUCUCAAAAAUUAUAUAUCCUGCGAAUACGCGACGAGUGAUUAAAAAAAAGAAGAAAAAAGAAAUGAUCGUGGUUGGGACGACGUCGAUAUGGGAUAAAAACGGUGAACACGAACAUUUUCCUCGUUAAUCAUAAAGGCGCUUCCAAGUAUGCUUUUUUUUCCAACUUUUCUCCAUUAUAUUGUAUACAAUCGUGCUCGAUUUCGCUCUGAAUUGCAGAUUUUCCGUUUUCUUAAUUGCAACUCGGUCGGUCCUCCCCUUUUUUUCUUCUUUUUUUUUUUCUUAUCAUCCAAUCAAUCUACAAUGCGCCACGAUUUCGUACGAAGAUUAUUUAAAAAGUUAAACAAAACUCGUAAUCGAUCGGCCAUCUCGAUGGCACAAUAAUUUCCUAUAAGACGAACGAAUUAAUUUAUAUUCCAUUUACAUAGAUAAAAUAUUUCUAUUUACAUAGAUUAUUAUUUACAUAGAGAUUGGCGCGAUAAGAAUGAUUUAUCGAUUUUUUUUUCGCAGUUGCAAGGGGAAUUUGAACGUUACAAUAUUUACAAUAAUUAAAUAAAAUAUUUACAAAUAUUACAAGAUUUUUUUUUCCAUAUAAAUAAGCAGUAACGAUGAACAAAUAAUUUUUGAAUCGAUCUCUGCGUCAUCCUUGACGCAGAUCGAAUUAAAAAUUUAUUCAUACGAUUAAAUUAACUAUAAAAUAUAAUCGUGUUAAAUUUAUCAUAAGAAGAAAAAUACCUGCUUUUUUAUCAUUUUAGAUAUAUAAAUAAUUUCCAGAAGAAUCCUAAAAAUAACUAUUCUAAUCGGAAUAUUCCAUCGCAUUCCAAGAAUAAAAUUCCACUAGAAAAAAAAAAAUAUUGAAAGAAUAUUUUUUCCAUAAUUAGCGUUCGUUGAAAAACAAUUUUUUGCGCAGCUCGUAUUAUAAUUGGAUAAUUCCCUCCGGGAAGAAAUCCAAAAAAAAAAAAAACUUGAAUCCAAGUCGAAAAAAAAAAAGAAAAAAAAAAAAAACAAUCAAAGAUAAGUCUCGCUUAUAAUCUCGAUAAUAAUCUCUAGAAGCCUUUUCAACUCCGUCGCAUUCCACGCGGCACACGCGCGCGCAAUUUCGCACACGAAGGAGGAAACGCACAAACAAGCGUGUAAAGAGAUAGAGAGAGAGAGAGAGAGAUAGAGAAAAAACG
rnacentral:lncRNA from 1 species